rnacentral:tRNA from 1 species
GGAAGCAAUGGAGCGUACGUGGCGGUACGCUUGUCGGCUGGCUGUUAAUCAGCGGGUCGCUGGUUCGAGUCCAGCAUCCG